GACGAACGCUGGCGGCGUGCUUAACACAUGCAAGUCGAACGGAAAGGCCCUGCUUGCAGGGUGCUCGAGUGGCGAACGGGUGAGUAACACGUGGGUGAUCUGCCCCUUACUUUGGGAUAAGCCUGGGAAACUGGGUCUAAUACUGGAUAGGACCAUGCUGUAGGUGGUGUGGUGGAAAGAUUAGUUUCGGUAAGGGAUGAGCUCGCGGCCUAUCAGCUUGUUGGUGGGGUAAUGGCCUACCAAGGCGUCGACGGGUAGCCGGCCUGAGAGGGUGGACGGCCACAUGGGGACUGAGAUACGGCCCAGACUCCUACGGGAGGCAGCAGUGGGGAAGAUUGCACAAUGGGCGCAAGCCUGAUGCAGCGACGCCGCGUGGGGGAUGACGGCCUUCGGGUUGUAAACUCCUUUCAGCCAUGACGAAGCCCUUGUGGUGACGGUAGUGGUAGAAGAAGCACCGGCUAACUACGUG
rnacentral:rRNA from 1 species